UUUAAAGCCAGGGACCAUGCUUAGCCUUCAUUGAUGUAAGAGUGAUCAGACCUUUUGCUAGCACUGUUGCACAGCCUGUACCAGAUUAACCAGAGCUGCUGCUUCUCCCAGUGAGGCUCUUUGGCUCUGGAAUAUUUGCAGAUCAGACCCUACUGUGAAUGCAAAUGAGACUAUGCAAGUUGGAUCCACGAGUAGGAAAUGUAAAGAUACAUGCCUAAGUCAGGAAGACUGAAUAACUGGCAUUCAGGAGCCCACAGGAUGGUGUCUUAGUGACAGAACAGAAAAAGAAAAUGAAAAUAAUACACAAUCUCUUUCAACUCUGAAGUGGCUGGCUGCACAAUCCCACUUCAAAUGGGUCAUCCCAGAGCCCAGGCUGUCAGGUGAGCUCAUGGUUACAGACAGGCUGAGAAAGAUUUGCCUUCCUUGAUGCUUUUUGCUCUCACCUGAAAUGUCAGCUCUCCUUCUCCAUAUAGCCCUCCCCAGCUUAGCUCUGUACUGACACUGCAAUAGAUAGCAGCUCUGAGAACUGCUUCUUGGUUGCUCAGGUGCUUGACUGUGUAUUUAAAUAACUGAUCUUAAGCAGCUACCUUUAAAAUAAAUGAAAUUCAGGUGAGAGCCAUAAGUAAUGUUUGGGAGAGAACCACAGGGAUCCUUUCUUUGGUGUUAAUUCUGCAAUGCAUAAGUUAAAUUUACAGGAAAAAAAAAAAGGCUAGCCCGAAGUUCAAUGGUACCAUCAUUUUCCUUAUGGUUGCUUCAUUUUGAGCACGUCUCAGUACAAUGUAGAUUUUAUUAUAUUGAAGACUGGAAUUGUCCAAUCCUUAUUGCAUGGAACUGCAUACCAGGAUUUCUACUGUAUUUGAAGGGAACUGCAUGUGGAAAGAAGGAUAUGAUAGUCCUUGGCUUUGCCCAAAUGGAGAGCUUGGACCUUGUCUUGCUGUGUAUUGAACUGGAGAUCACCCAAAAUAUGCUUAUCUUGGAGCUGAGCAAUAGGAUGCAGGUCAUGGUAACUGUGGCAACCCAACUGGAUGUUGCAUCUGAUUGUGAAAUUUGUCUGUCCUGACCAGAUUUAAGUUGUUAGGAUAUUUGUCAUUGUGAUAAACCAGUCAGAAAUUACUACUCCAUUUAUGCUGGAAGAGCAUUUGAAGAAUUGCUUUUUAUCACUUCUCAACUGUUUGCUCUCCUUCCAGUUGAGAGGUUGUAUAGGCUAAUGGUCCAUAGUGGGUCAAGGUGAACUUAAGAUUGAUGCAAUAGCAGUUUGCCAUGGAGAAGGCUGUAGUAAAAAACAUAUCUGUGUACUCCUACAGAAGUGUUCUCAUGUUUUUGUAGCUUUUUAGUUUGACAAAUAAAUAGCUAAUUCUUGUUUUAUGUAGAUUUAGU
rnacentral:lncRNA from 1 species